GGGAUGCAUCCACUUUAUUAGACGGCAAACUAGAAAAUGCUUCUUACAGUCGCCACAUAAAAAAGAAUUAUCAUCAUGCCAAACAAAUUAUCCUCGGCGCCAAUGAUGUGAGAAGUGAGCAGAAAGAGCAAUGCAACAGGUUUUCUUUUCUGGCCAUGCCAAGGUGGAAGGUGAUCUUAAUUGAAGAAAGAAUGGUCAAAGUGGAUAUGUGCAGUUUCAGAAGUACAGCUAUAUAACAUCCGCUAUGCCUUGUCCGAUAACACUCUCCUUAAUCCAGGCUCUCACGUGGAUUGUCCUUCCUAUAUUAUAAUCCUCCACCUGUCUUUCCUUUACAGAAUUAAUCCCAAAUUAAGUAUUUCAAAUAUCUAAUAUAGUUGUGUUAGAAAAAGAAAUUCUCGAGUUCUGAGAUUAUGGAAUAUCCUGAAAGAACGCUAAAGCAACUAUACCCCUUAGAGAAAGAUCAUUAUCAACUUGUAGAAAACUAAUCCUAUAGUGUGGUGAGAAUUUUUGGCAGUCAUAUUGCACCACUCUCAUACUUUUAACAAUGCAUUUAUGAGAACCACCUACAAUAAAAAAAUGGCAAUAAGAUUAGCAACUAGUGUUAUUUGUUAUAUUUUCGCAAUGCUAUGUCUUAUCAACAAAUACUUACCAGCAUGUACAUUGCUGCUCAGAAACACAUUUGAUGAUGGAUCAGAAGUUUCCUCCUAUUUAAUGUGGUGAUAAAAAUAACUUCUAAGUAAUUCAGUUCACAGAACCAUGAAGGACUGGGUUUGAGUUUCUGCUUUGAAUACCAUAAAGUGAUGAACACAGAGACUGAGAAAAAAAGAGGAGGAGAAGGAGUGGAAGGAUAAAUGUAUGUAAGAAAAAAAGAAGCAAAUAAAUAUUACUGGCAAGUAAAUGGACAUAGCCUUGGGACCCAAGACGGUGGCACCAGGCCAGUUUUAUACUCAUUCUGGACAUGUGCAGCAGAUGGCAUGGCAGCUACUCCAUUUACACUGCAAUAAUCCCAUUAUCAUUUUAUUUUUCUUGGCACUGGGAUAACAUAUAAGAGGGUGGGGCAGUAGGAGACACUGAAUUCACGUAUCAUUGAAAACCAAAAUAUUAGAAGAGCUUAAGUUUUAAAGAAUGCUGCCAAAUGUUUAAGCGAUCAGCACUGCUGGUUUACUAUAAACAUAAUGGACUACAUGUUGAGUACCUUGACAUAUGAGUAAAUUCAUAUAGUACAAAUCAUUCAACACACAUAUCUUGAGAACAA
rnacentral:lncRNA from 1 species